AUUGAACGCUGGCGGCAGGCCUAACACAUGCAAGUCGAGCGGAUGAAGGGAGCUUGCUCCUGGAUUCAGCGGCGGACGGGUGAGUAAUGCCUAGGAAUCUGCCUGGUAGUGGGGGAUAACGUCCGGAAACGGGCGCUAAUACCGCAUACGUCCUGAGGGAGAAAGUGUGGGAUCUUCGGACCUUACGCUAUCAGAUGAGCCUAGGUCGGAUUAGCUAGUUGGUGGGGUAAAGGCCUACCAAGGCGACGAUCCGUAACUGGUCUGAGAGGAUGAUCAGUCACACUGGAACUGAGACACGGUCCAGACUCCUACGGGAGGCAGCAGUGGGGAAUAUUGGACAAUGGGCGAAAGCCUGAUCCAGCCAUGCCGCGUGUGUGAAGAAGGUCUUCGGAUUGUAAAGCCCUUUUAGUUGGGAGGAAGGGCAGUAAGUUAAUACCUUGCUGUUUUGACGUUACCCACAGAAUAAGCACCGGCUAACUUCGUG
rnacentral:rRNA from 1 species